rnacentral:lncRNA from 1 species
UUGCUUAAAAAGGCCCGCCCAUCUCAUAUAUAUGAUAAAGGAAGCAUACUGUUUUUAGCUAUCUUUGCUUUUUUCUUUUGUUUUUUUUCCUGGGGGUCUAAUAUGAGAUGUAUAACGUGCUCAUACUCAUCCAUUAGGAUGUUCCCUCCUUCAAAAGCUCCGCUAGGAUACUAACUUAGUUACCUAGCAUUGAAUUAGGUAGGACACUCGUCCUACUUCAUAGAUA